CCUGCCCUUCAGAGGGGGACAACAGUUGGAAACGACUGCUAAUACCGCAUACGAUCCAAUCUCGGCAUCGAGACUGGGUGAAAGGUGGCCUCUAUUUAUAAGCUAUCACUGAAGGAGGGGAUUGCGUCUGAUUAGCUAGUUGGAGGGGUAACGGCCCACCAAGGCGAUGAUCAGUAGCCGGUCUGAGAGGAUGAACGGCCACAUUGGGACUGAGACACGGCCCAG
rnacentral:rRNA from 1 species